AUCUCAUUGCGUUCCCGUACUUGAAUUAUUUUAAUCCCAGUCUGCCUGCCUUCUUAUACUGGAAUCUUCUUGGAAAAGGCAUCAGGCAUCAGACUCCUGGGAAGAACUCAGAGACAGGGAAGCCUAUAAAAACAGGAUCCAGUGUCUGAUUGGCAAGGAAUGCCCAGUUGUGCAUAUGUAUCCAAUACAGACUAGUCCAAGGUCACCCAGCAAGCUUCAUGUGGAUGAGUGGGGAAACGAACCUGGUUCACCAGACUAUACAUUUGGAAGUACUAGUUUGGAAGAUCAAGUGUCUGCCAUUCUGCAUAACCUUCUUCCAAGGGACUCGAAACCGGAUAAUGUGGGGGUUAAAUCCAGCCACUUUUUUCACUGACCAAUGACACACAAGUUUGCAAGAUAGAUGUCUGCCUGCAACUGCUAUGAUCACAUCUAGCAACCUUCCACAUUUCCUCUUUGGUCUAGGAAAAGAAUAAUAAUGACAAAAUAAACCCUCUCAUAAUUGGUGGAACAGAUAGCCAACACUGUAA